rnacentral:rRNA from 1 species
CGACCGGCGCACGGGUGAGUAACACGUAUGAAACCUGCCCGUAGCAGGGGGAUAAGCGGAAGAAAUUCCGUCUAAUACCGCGUAACAACCCAUGGAGGCAUCUCUGUGGGUUUAAAGGAAGCGAUUCCGGCUACGGAUGGUCAUGCGUCGCAUUAGCUUGUUGGCGGGGUAACGGCCCACCAAGGCGACGAUCAGUAGCCGGACUGAGAGGUUGAACGGCCACAUUGGGACUGAGAUACGGCCCAGACUCCUACGGGAGGCAGCAG